rnacentral:rRNA from 1 species
UACGUAGGGUGCGAGCGUUGUCCGGAAUUAUUGGGCGUAAAGAGCUCGUAGGCGGUGUGUCGCGUCGGCCGUGAAAACCUGCAGCUUAACUGUGGGCUUGCGGUCGAUACGGGCAUCACUGGAGUUCGGCAGGGGAGACUGGAAUUCCUGGUGUAGCGGUGAAAUGCGCAGAUAUCGAGGAGGAACGACCGGUGGGCGAAGGCGGGUCUCUGG